ensembl:lncRNA
UAAGAAGCUUGCCCAAGGUCAUGCAACUAGUUCAUGAGUGGCCGGUGGUCACCAAAUUGGAUCCUGCAGCUCUGGCCUUUGCCUCCCAAAACCUACAACUGCUCCUGGUGGACCUCCCCGAGAAGGCGUGUGAAGCAAUAGAGCUAGAGGAGACGGGAACUCUGCCUCCAUUUGCUGUGUGACAUCGCGGACCAAGGACUUCCCUAGAAGAGAAGAAAAGAAAUUGAAUAUUCUGGUCUUCACCUUGGGACUCAAAGGUUGGAUUCCCCCCCCAGAAGCUGACCUUGGGACAAGGAUUCUAGCACAAGCUGUUUCUUGGGAAGGCGACCCAAGGAAACACUAGGAAGGAGCUGGAGAGUGGGUGAGACAGGAAAGGAAGGCAGCCCACGCCAGCCCUGAACAUGCUCAAUUAAAACAAAGAAAAAAAUACCCUGCCUGGGUUUAAGUGGAUCCUCCUGAUGCAUACAUGCUUAGAAGCUGAAGUGUCCAGAAGCUAUUCAGACUGGGAAGCAGUUUGGAAGACGCAUGAUGGCAGCCCCAUUGUGGGACACUGCCAACCCACGGCCAUCUCGCUCAGGAGGGUCCUCCAGUCUGCACACGCUUUCCUGCUCAGCGGGCAAGUCCUUCUGCCUUCCUGUCCGAUUACCUGGCCCGACUACGAGGUCCUGUUCCCUCACCAAGGCCCGUCCAACUCCUGAUCGGCUGAUUACUCCGUGCAGAGCCUUCACCAGCAGGAGACUGCCUUGGCAGCCCGCGCCUGCCCGUGGCCAGCCCAGAUUGGUGGCACCUCCCCGCCCUCACCGGCUGCCGCCAGGGUUUGCUUUGUUUUUGUUUCUGUUGGCUCUGUUUGGAGUCUACAGAUGUGGUCAGACCGGAGAGGAGUAGGGGCGCGGGGGCUGCCAGCAAAGGGGAGAAUAAAAGAGCCAAUCAUUUCUG